rnacentral:tRNA from 1 species
UCCCUGUAGCGCAAUGGAUAGCGCGUUGGACUUCUAAUCCAAAGGUCGUGGGUUCGAAUCGAACCUGGAAAG